CAGGGACACUCAAACUGAUGCCAGAAAGGCAGGGUUUUGUUUAGUUUUUGUGACUGAUUGUGCUCUAGUUCUUCUGAACUGCAACAACGUAUGAACUGAAGUUCUGAAGGAAACGUGAAACUAAUUCAGAAAAAUGAGCAGAGUAAAGACUGUGAGAAAUAGAGUACAGAGAAAAAGUGUCAAAACUAACUGGAAUACCAGAGAAAAGUGUACGGAGCUCACCAGGAGAAACAGUAUGAAUGGAAUGAGACCCUGUCUGUCUCAUGAUGAUGCAGACAAACCUGUGAAGUGUCAUUCUGAUUUGUCAGAGAGGAUCAAAUAUGACGUGAGAUAUUCACCAAAGAGAACAGAAGAGAAAACCAAUUGUCAUCAGUUAUGAUAAUAUAUCCCUUUCUACUCAUUAACAGUGUUGGGGGUAACGCAUUACAAGUAACGCGAGUUGUUAUGUUGUUUAACAUUGAAUUAUUGCAGGUUUACGUCAUAUUCUGAGUUGCAUUAUUGUUUAUUCAUUUUGAGGAAUAUUGAAUCUUUUUUUUUUACCCAUUCUAUUAACCAAUGUCUUUGCUUCUGACCUUCGAUGAUCCAGUUCAACCGUACUAAUAAGCAAAAAUUACUCUAGACGAACAUUUGUGUGUCUUUUUUUAUUGCUGAAGUGUGUUGAAAUGUCUUCUUCUGCAUUCUACUGUACAGACGUAACUUUACUUUCCCUUCAGCCUGAGGCUUAUUCAUUUCACUUUUGCUGUGAAAGGCUUUUAUAUUUGCCAAAAAUAUAACUUUUUUAUUUUAAAAACAAACAAGCAAGCCCUGUCCAGAUUUAAAAAGUAACGCAAAAGUAACAUAACGCAUUACAUUCCAUAAAAAGUAACUAAGUAACGUAAUUAGUUACUUUUUUAUGGAGUAACGCAAUAUUGUAAUGCAUUACUUUUAAACGUAACUUUCCUCAACACUGCUCAUUAAUAUGAAUUAGUAUAUGGAAAUAAUGAUAAAAGAGCGUCCCUGAACCGUUUGAAUCAUUAGAUUAUUUUUUUCUCUUUAGCGAUUACAGCACAUUAAAACCUCCUGGACCCGUCCUCCUGACAGCAUUGUUCAAUUUUCUGUUGUCAAACACACCAGCCAGAUAUGAUUAAAACUCAAUAUUUAAAAAUCACAAUACAGAGUGUUU
rnacentral:lncRNA from 1 species